UCUGAGUGACUGGAAGGAGUGGAGCCAGGAUCCACCCUUCCCAGACCUCAUUUGAGGGUUGGCAGUAGAGGCAAGUGUAUCUUGUUGGGUAUCCCUGUGUACCCGAGGUCUUCUAAGGGACAAUUUCAUCAGUCUCCAGCCCUUGUGAUCAUGUCCCAAAAUGACUAGUCAGGUGAAGCCCUAGCUGAAGAUUGCUUGUCACCUGUAGGAAGUAGCUGUCUGCUGACAGCAUCUCAAACGGAAGUAACGGGCUUCCAAGUUCAUCUCCGAAGGUUACUUCAAAAACCCUGUCAGAGCACUCCUCCUCGAGUGAUUCACUGCCGCAAAUGGCCUGUGGUUAAAAACAAUGGUUUCUUAAAAGUCCUACACCAGCAUGGUUGUGAUGAUUUAAGGCAGUCAGAAGAAGGCAGAUGGAUGUCCUGAGGCAGAAGGGUGCUAUCCUCUGGCUUUCUCACAUCAGGAAUGUCCACUUCAGAACUAGGAGAAGAGAGGCAACAGGUCUCACAGGUGCCACUGAACUACAUCUGUGCACUUCUUUUGCAGAAGAGGUCGUAUUUACAAGGAGCCAUCUCGUGAGGAUUUAUCAAUAAUUAAGCGGUAGUGACAGGGCACUGCAUAAAAACACCUGAGAAUGGAUGCAAACAAUGUACUGGGGAGAGCGACAAUAAAACAGGGAUGACAGUAUAAAGAGAGAAUGAUGAAUGUAUUAGCACAGGUGCAGAUGCUGCGCUUCAGCCUUCCUGCCCAGAAAGGCUAUCUGUCUGAUCUGAAGAAGGAAAGAAGGCUGAAGAUUCAAGGCUGUUCUGUCACCUCAUCCUUCCAUCACCUGCAGUCAGUAAGGUCUCUCUACCACAGGAGCAUGAAGUGUGCUGGUUUAAGUGGAAUUGCCAAGUAUCUGCUAUUUUGCUUCAUACGAUCAGCACUGCUGGGUUUUAGUAUUGCCAUGCUUUGUCAGUGUUAAUGUAAUGGCAAAUGAUGAAGAUGGUCUUUGGCAGGAAACAUUGCUAGCCCUUAAUAAUAAACAAUUUCUGCACCUUAAAUUGCUGCUAUACAUGAGCAAGUU